AACGAACGCUGGCGGCAGGCUUAACACAUGCAAGUCGAGCGCCCCGCAAGGGGAGCGGCAGACGGGUGAGUACCGCGUGGGAACGUACCCCUUGGUUCGGAACAACUCCGGGAAACUGGCGCUAAUACCGGAUAAGCCCUAACGGGGAAAGAUUUAUCGCCGAAAUAUCGGCCCGUGUCUGAUUAGCUGGUUGGUGAGGUAACGGCCCACCAAGGCGACGAUCAGUAACUGGUCUGAAAAGAAGGUCACCCACACUGGGGCCGGGAGACGGCCCGAACCCUGGCGGAGGGGCGCAGGGGGGAAUAAGGGACGCUGCGCGCGUGCCGAAGGCCGCCGGCCCGCAAAGGUGAUGAAGGCGGGAGGGUGGGAAGUCUGUUUUUACCGGGAUGUUAUGACGUUACCCGGAGAAUAAGCCCCGGCUAACUUCGUG
rnacentral:rRNA from 1 species